rnacentral:rRNA from 1 species
UACGGAGGGGGCUAGCGUUGUUCGGAAUUACUGGGCGUAAAGCGCGCGUAGGCGGCUUUGUAAGUUAGAGGUGAAAGCCCAGGGCUCAACCCUGGAAUUGCCUUUAAGACUGCAUCGCUUGAACAUCGGAGAGGUAAGUGGAAUUCCGAGUGUAGAGGUGAAAUUCGUAGAUAUUCGGAAGAACACCAGUGGCGAAGGCGACUUACUGGACGAUUGUUGACGCUGAGGUGCGAAAGCGU